rnacentral:rRNA from 1 species
GACGAACGCUGGCGGCGUGCUUAACACAUGCAAGUCGAACGGUGAAGCGCCUUCCUUUUUGGUGGGUGUGGAUGAGUGGCGAACGGGUGAGUAACACGUGAGUAACCUGCCCCCUUCUUCUGGAUAACCGCAUGAAAGUGUGGCUAAUACGGGAUAUUCUGGGUCUGUCGCAUGAUGGGUCUGGGAAAGAUAUUGUUUCGGUGGGGGAUGGGCUCGCGGCCUAUCAGCUUGUUGGUGGGGUGAUGGCCUACCAAGGCGGUGACGGGUAGCCGGCCUGAGAGGGUGGACGGUCACACUGGGACUGAGACACGGCCCAGACUCCUACGGGAGGCAGCAGUGGGGAAUAUUGAACAAUGGGCGCAAGCCUGAUGCAGCGACGCCGCGUGAGGGAUGGAGGCCUUCGGGUUGUGAACCUCUUUCGCCAGUGAAGCAGGCCUGCCUCGUUUGUGGGUGGGUUGACGGUAGCUGGAUAAGAAGCGCCGGCUAACUACGUG